CAUGUCAGGCUACAGAGUGGUAGGAGAUGGUUUCUACUGUGGAACCAAGUACAUGGUGACUGCUUUGAUAGAAGGUUUACGAAAAGAACUUAGGGCAAUGAAAAAGAACAUCAGAGUUUGUGGUAUAUUUCACCAGGUAUUGUUGAGACUGAAUUUGCAGCAAGGAAAGCACGCCAAGAUCCAGCAGAAUGUUCUUUUUAACAGACAAAUCCGAGUAUCAAAGCAGAAGAUGUCGCCAAUCAAGUCAUUCACAUUCUUCAGCAGCCUCCUCAUGUUCAGGUACGAUUUUUAGAUGGAAUGAACUGGCCUUUGCCUGUCAUAUUAUCGUAUUGCCCUGCAUAGCAAUGGCGAGCGCGUCACUUUUCCAACGAUGGCGGCGCGGCGCUCAGUGGGCCAGAAUGAACCCAAAGUGCGCCAAAACCCAUUAUUCACACAUUUGUAAGAUUAAAUUUGGUAGAUAGGGGUAAUUUCACCCGUAGAAUUCAAUAAAAGUAUUUCAAAUAUUGAUGACGUCGUUAAAAUACUGUUUUCUGAUUGGCUGUUAACAUUUGAGAAGAAAUUACAUGUUUCUAAUUCUACAAUAAUUUUUAAAUUUUUAGAAACUAGUUUUAGAAAAAUUUCAGCAAUAAUUAAGCAUAUUAGCAAACAGCAAACACACAAACAGGCAAACAAACAAGAAAAGUCUGUGCUCGGGGUACAAACAAUUCAAUUGAUGACUUGAGUAUCGCUUAAAGAGGGCGCCCUACCAUGAAUCCGGAAUUGUAAAAUUCAAAGUGAAAUUGAAAAAAAAAAUGCAAAGGAGUAUUUUCAUUCCCUGGGUACAAUGAUUAACCACACCUACAUGAAUUAAAAUGGAUUGAUACCAGAAGUGGACAGUGAAAUCUUUAAAAUAAUGAUUCAAAUGAUAAAUAAUAGAGGCCGGGUCCUCUGCAGGUUAAUCAGAACAAGGCCUACCUAUUUCACCAAGAACGGUGUAUACAAAGUUAUUCUGAAUCAGAGUCUCUCUCUGCUAUCUCACCAACUAUUAUGUCUUUGGUGAGAGGAUCUUUUAGCAUAAUUUGAACAUCAGGGGGAAGAGGCUGUGAUUGUUGUACUCUUAAAAACUUGCUACUUAUCACAAUGUCACCUGUUACCAUUAGUCUGUGGAAUACAUAUAAAGUCAAUGAGAGUCAUAAACCAAACAAUCCUUGAAAUGAUAAUAUACACUUCCUUCUUGAUCGAUACUAACAAUAAUUUAUAGCAAAUUUAGAAUGAGCCAAGAGAUAAACCAAUUCAUACGUGUAUUUGUUUGCUUGCAUUUAUUUCUGCGUUCAAAAACAUAAUACAAAAAUAUUUACAAUUACAAUAUACAAAAUAAUUCACAAUAUAAACAAUGUAGUCAUAUUACAUGAUAAAUACAAAUAAGAGCGUGAGUAUAAAUUAAUCUUUUAUAAAUGUAAACAUAUAUAUAUAAUGUAAUAAAUGAACGCAGGAGACCACCAUCGUGAGCGGUUAGGCUUGAAUUGAUGGCGGCCUCAUAAAAAGAUUCGUGACUUAGAUUGAUAUUUACUGGUCAAGUGGGUGCAUUGCAGGUGCAGGUGCUGUAUAGCAGUUGAGUAAAAUCAGAAUGUUAAAUAGCGAAUGUGGAUAUUUGAGUGAAUGUUUUAAUUUGGAGCGAGGGGUUGAUAAGAUUGAAUGAUAGUUUUCUUUAGAGUGGCUUUUAAUGAGUAUAUGGUAGAACAAGUUUUAAUAUUGUUUGGAAGAUCAUUCCAAAUGUCUGGACCAUGAUGUCGAAUUGAUUUAGAGGCAAUUAACAGUCUGGGGUUAGAGAGAUGAAAGUUUCCGGAUAUGCGCGAUGGGUAAGUAUGGACAUAACUAUUAAAUUUAAACAUGUUAUCAAAAGACGAAGGGAGCAGAUUGUUAAUAUAUUUAAACAUAAUUAUAGCUAUUUGAAUAGUAUAUAAGUCGGCAAUUUUUAAUGUCUUUUGUUUAAAAAAUAAAGGAUCGGUGUGAGCCAAAUAAUGCGA